AUUGAACGCUGGCGGCAUGCCUUACACAUGCAAGUCGAACGGUAACAGGUCUUCGGAUGCUGACGAGUGGCGAACGGGUGAGUAAUACAUCGGAACGUGCCUAGUAGUGGGGGAUAACUACUGGAAAGAGUGGCUAAUACCGCAUGAGAUCUACGGAUGAAAGCAGGGGAUCGCAAGGCCUUGUGCUACUAGAGCGGCCGCGGGCAGAUUAGGUAGUUGGUGGGAUAAAAGCUUACCAAGCCGACGAUCUGUAGCUGGUCUGAGAGGACGAUCAGCCACACUGGGGCUGAGACACGGCCCAGACUCCUACGGGAGGCAGCAGUGGGGGAUUUUGGACAAUGGGCGCAAGCCUGAUCCAGCAAUGCCGCGUGAAGGAUGAAGGCCUUCGGGUUGUAAACUGCUUUUGUACGGAACGAAAAGCCCUGGGUUAAUACCCUGGGGUCAUGACGGUACCGUAAGAAUAAGCACCGGCUAACUACGUGCCAGCCGCCGCUGUAAGAC
rnacentral:rRNA from 1 species